rnacentral:rRNA from 1 species
UACGUAGGGUGCAAGCGUUAAUCGGAAUUACUGGGCGUAAAGCGUGCGCAGGCGGUUAUGCAAGACAGAGGUGAAAUCCCCCGGGCUCAACCUGGGAACUGCCUUUGUGACUGCAUAGCUAGAGUACGGUAGAGGGGGAUGGAAUCCGCGUGUGCAGUGAAAUGCGUAGAUAUGCGGAGGAACACCGAUGGCGAAGGCAGCCUCCUGGC